CCCUCCCUGCUGCAGCCCCAGAUAAAGAGUUCCAGGAACUGCCCAGCUGAGCUCAGGGAUGAGUUCCAGACCUCCAGCAUGAGGGAAGGCUCCCCAGCCCUCCCAAACACCCCCGCCAGCACAACAGCUUCAAACCCCCAAACAGGACAGCACUGCCCCAUCCCUGGAGACCAGCCCUAAGAGCAGGGACAGAAUAAAUGGAAUUAAUCCAUCUCAGAACCUCCAGGGCUUUCCAGCCUGACACAGGCACCUCCAGGGUGGUCAGCAGGACAUGGAGAGCAAGCUGGGACAGAAAUGCACUACCCAGUGCUGAUAGAGAGCAGUGGAAAGAGCCAUAUUCAAACACCACACCUGCCCAAGGAAUGCA